UACGUAGGGUGCAAGCGUUGUCCGAAAUUAUUGGGCGUAAAGAGCUUGUAGGCGGUUUGUCGCGUCUGCUGUGAAAUUUCGGGGCUCAACCCCGAACUUGCAGUGGGUACGGGCAGACUAGAGUGUGGUAGGGGAGACUGGAAUUCCUGGUGUAGCGGUGAAAUGCGCAGAUAUCAGGAGGAACACCGAUGGCGAAGGCAGGUCUCUGGGCCAUAACUGACGCUGAGAAGCGAAAGCAUGGGGAGCGAACAGG
rnacentral:rRNA from 1 species